rnacentral:rRNA from 1 species
GACAGAGGGUGCAACCGUUGUUCGGAAUUACUGGGCGUAAAGCGAGUGUAGGCGGUCUCAUAAGUCCGCUGUGAAAGUCGGGGGCUCAACCCUCGGAUGCCGGUGGAUACUGUCGGGCUUGAGUACGGAAGAGGCGAGUGGAAUUCCUGGUGUAGCGGUGAAAUGCGCAGAUAUCAGGAGGAACACCAAUUGCGAAGGCAGCUCGCUGGGACGUUACUGACGCUGAGACGCGAAAGCGUGGGGAGCAAACAGG